GGAGGGCAAGUCUGGUGCCAGCAGCCGCGGUAAUUCCAGCUCCAAUAGCGUAUAUUAAAGUUGUUGUGGUUAAAAAGCUCGUAGUUGAACCUUGGGCCUGGCUGGCCGGUCCGCCUCACCGCGUGUACUGGUCCGGCCGGGCCUUUCCCUCUGUGGAACCCCAUGCCCUUCACUGGGUGUGGCGGGGAAACAGGACUUUUACUGUGAAAAAAUUAGAGUGCUCCAGGCAGGCCUAUGCUCGAAUACAUUAGCAUGGAAUAAUAGAAUAGGACGUGUGGUUCUAUUUUGUUGGUUUCUAGGACCGCCGUAAUGAUUAAUAGGGACAGUCGGGGGCAUCAGUAUUCAAUUGUCAGAGGUGAAAUUCUUGGAUUUAUUGAAGACUAACUACUGCGAAAGCAUUUGCCAAGGAUGUUUUCAUUAAUCAGGAACGAAAGUUAGGGGAUCGAAGACGAUCAGAUACCGUCGUAGUCUUAACCAUAAACUAUGCCGACUAGGGAUCGGACGAUGUUAUUUUUUGACUCGUUCGGCACCUUACGGGAAAC
rnacentral:rRNA from 1 species